rnacentral:rRNA from 1 species
GAUGAACGCUGGCGGCGUGCUUAACACAUGCAAGUCGAACGAUGGUGCGCAGCUUGCUGGGUGGAGUAGUGGCGAACGGGUGGGUAACACGUGAGUAACCUGCCCUUGUCUCUGGGAUAAGCCUGGGAAACUGGGUCUAAUACCGGAUACGACAAUCUGGCGCAUGUCAUGGUGGUGGAAAGCAGUUGUGGUUUUGGAUGGACUCGCGGCCAAUCAGCUUGUUGGUGGGGGAAUGGCCGACCAAGGCGACGACGGGUAGCCGGCCUUAGAGGGUGACCGGGCACACUGCGACUGCGACACGGCGCAGACUCCUACGGGAGGCAGCAGUCGGGAAUAUUGCACAGCGGGCGCAAGCCUGAUGCAGCGACGCCGCGUGCGGGAUGACGGCCUUCGGGUUGUAAACCUCUUUCAGUAGGGAAGAAGCGAAAGUGACGGUACCUGCAGAAGAAGCGCCGGCUAACUACGUG